AGUACCAACCCGGGUUAUUAAUUAAUGAUUCCCCUUUUUUGGGACAAGUGACCCUCCAUUUUGAAUCUACAGCUUGGGUGGUUAAGUCGCUCUUU
rnacentral:sRNA from 1 species